rnacentral:rRNA from 1 species
UACGUAGGGGGCGAGCGUUGUCCGGAAUCAUUGGGCGUAAAGCGCGUGUAGGCGGCCCGGUAAGUCCGCUGUGAAAGUCCAGGGCUCAACCCUGGGAUGCCGGUGGAUACUGUCGGGCUCGAGUCCGGAAGAGGCGAGUGGAAUUCCUGGUGUAGCGGUGAAAUGCGCAGAUAUCAGGAGGAACACCAAUGGCGAAGGCGGCUCACUGGUCCGGUACUGACGCUGAGGCGCGAAAGCGUGGGGAGCAAACAGG